ensembl:lncRNA
AUGGUACGUGCCUCUGUUCAGCCUCAUCUUCUUGAUGAUCUGCUGCUACGCGCGGAUAAUCUGCGUGGCCACCGCAAGGAUGCAGUCAUGGUUGGGAACCUUCAACCCAGAGAGAGAGAGACGAAAGGCUCCAUAAUGCCUUCUACCCACAGGACCCGUCCUUCCCGCUCACCCUGUUGCACGUCCUGUCGGCACCGCUCCAUGGCUUGGCCAACGCGUUUGUCUUCGGCCUGGAUCGGGACUGGUGGAGCCUACUGAGCCCCACUGGCGUGCAGGUACAGCAGCUGCACACGCGGACCGCUGUGUGGAAUUUAACUUACACACUGAUGUCUGAACACGUUGCCAUGUCAUUUUUUUCGGACCUGGUAAUAUUUCCGCAACACUUUCGUGGACAUGAUGGAGGUAUGUGUUUGACAACAAUACUUCUCUGGGCCCCGUCUCUCGUACGUGUUUCGACUAAGUUGAUUAUCCAGCUCAAAUUAACCCGAUAAUUGAGAUCAGGUUAUGUUGGUUUCUGAACGGCUCAAACAAUCUCGUUCAUUUGAACCACGCGGGAUGAUUCCAUGUGGCCGUCGUACUUCAAAAGCGGGAAAAGUCGAUCACCGAAAACAUGAUUUUACAACAGUCCAACGCAAAGGAAUUGAACAUAUUGUAUCUGUAUCUUUUACGCUCUUUAUUCUGUACACAUCCAUCGCAGUCUGUCCAUCCCACAGAGGGAUCCUCCUCUGCCGUUCUCCCCGAGGUGCCCAAUAGGUCAAUCGCCAAGGCAGUGCCAGUAGAUUGCCUUCCAUUGAAAAAAAUGUCAAGUCAGGCAUGCACGGUCGACCACGGGAGCUAAAAGAAAGCUAAUGCUAAUUAGCGAUCCUCGAUUACUUAAGGACACAUUUACUUUCAUUCAAAAGCAACCCUGGCUGACUUUGAUCAGAGCAAGUCAUCCAGUAAGGUAAUGACCAAGAAUGUGUGAACGCUUCUCUCGCUGCCGACAGAUGAGCGGCUCGUUGCUAUUUUAAAUAGUGAUUUGUUUUGCGCUCACGGCUUGCAGCGCUGUUGUUCCGUUAGUACUGCAUCUAACUUCUAUUUCUAUUGAUUCCAUCGGAUGACAUCAUAUUGCUGCAUCUGCACAUCUGUCCUCGGCAGUGUACCCGUCUCGGGGUCAUUGGCGGUUGAAGCCUCUCCCAGCAUGCUUUGGGCGAAAGGCCUGCGACUAAAUUGGUGUCUGCACGCCCCUCUCUGUUUAAACGGUUCUAGCAUGUUUGUGCGAAGGAGGUUGUCAUCUAACGUAGAAACCUACGUUGAGACGAAUGCAUCACAAGGCUUACGCUUACAGGCUGUUCUUUAACACACCGAAACAUGAGUAUAGGCAACAAAGUCCCCCUUUCCUCUGAGGGGAUGAACAGACCCCAGUUCGCCCGACUACCCCCCCAAGUACCCUCGGCUCGUUCCGCUCCCGCGAAGUGGUAAACACUGAACUUAAUAAGUAGUUGAAACGUAUCAACCAAAAAUGCCUGACGGAUGGUUUUCCUUUGAUCGAAAUGGUCUCAACAGUAUUGUUCAUUUUGGACUGUAUAUUAAACCAUUUGUAUUUCAUAAUCGCUUUGUAGAAAGCAACCUUGAAAUAAUGCAUCGCGAAUCAAGCUUUUAGGAAAAUGUAAUGAAGGAAAAGAGGCCCGGCAGAUGAACCGUAAACCCUCAUUGGUUGCAUUUCAAUAAACACUACAAUCAAUACAAUUCUCCACAGAGGACACAGGCAGAUAUCAGCCACAUCUGUUAUUGAACCACAACGGAGAAAAGGAAGUCCCCGUGGUCUCGGUUCACGCCUAUAAACACACACACACGUAUUGUCACCUACUCAGUGUCACCAACCACGCUGAUAAUGGGUCACGAGCGCGAUGUGGAAGCCCGGAAUGUGUGGGAUGACCUUCAACCCAAAUGUCAACGUUGCACUGUGGCGAGUCGGGGGAGAGAGAGACAGAGGAGUGAAGUGGAAUCUCAAUGUGUUCGUAAAUCAGAGAGAGAAAGGGAGGGAGGGAGGGAGGGAGGGAGAGAGAGAGGCGCGUGUUCGUGCUCUAUCGUGACUAACAGC